UGGCUAAUGUGAAUUAGAGGACACUUCAACAUAGAUUUUUUUGGAAUGAUCAUGUGAUUGCAAUAUUUGUAAUUGGAUUUGAUUAAAUUUUGAUCUUUAUACUGACAAGGAUACUAGAGCCUAAAUGAGAGAAGUAUGUGAAAGUCCUACUGAUAUAUUUUAUCCCAUAUAGAUUAUGCGUUGAAGAGAUAUUCAAUACCC
rnacentral:lncRNA from 1 species